rfam:Lactobacillus paucivorans strain DSM 22467 NODE_99, whole genome shotgun sequence.
GGACCUUUAGCUCAGUUGAUUAGAGCAGACGGCUCAUAACCGUCCGGUCGUUGGUUUAAGCCCAACAAGGUCCA